AGAAGUCAUUUGCUCGUUUUCGAUUCUUUGUUGUAGCAUGGAAGAAACCAGAGUUUCUAUCACCAAGUUUUAGCCAGAGUAAUCUGCUCCUCUGUCGCCAGUAGGCCUCUUCUGACUUGUAAGCGGCUCUCAAAUCAGCAGAGAUUUUGUGAAUGAGUGCUAAGUCGUUUACGCUGCUCGUUUGGGCUUCCUCCAGUUCAACCUUCUUCUUCUCAAUGGUGAGUCGGCUAUUUGCUUGCUUUGUCUUGUUCCAUUUUGAGAUUGCCCCUCGGACUAGAGCAAUUCUCUCGGAUAUUGAGCAUCUCUGAGCUUCUUUCCAGGUU
rnacentral:lncRNA from 1 species